rnacentral:rRNA from 1 species
CCUACGGGGGGCUGCAGUGGGGAAUUUUGGACAAUGGGCGCAAGCCUGAUCCAGCAAUGCCGCGUGCAGGAAGAAGGCCUUCGGGUUGUAAACUGCUUUUGUACGGAACGAAACGGUCUGGGUUAAUACCCUGGGCUAAUGACGGUACCGUAAGAAUAAGCACCGGCUAACUACGUGCCAGCAGCCGCGGUAAUACGUAGGGUGCAAGCGUUAAUCGGAAUUACUGGGCGUAAAGCGUGCGCAGGCGGUUUUGUAAGACAGGCGUGAAAUCCCCG